CUUUGCUGCAGACAGCGUCUUCCUAAGGAAGGAAACUCGGACCCCCUUCCCUCCUUUUUAAUGCUCCCCAGCUGCUCUGACUGCAAAUAGGAACGUCGGAGGACUGGGACUCGAAAUAAGCCCCGAAAUCAAGACCAGGGAAGCCAAGCUUUCGCCAUACCCUCAAUAAACCUACACCCCUCUGCAGGCCUCUUGUGAGAUGUGGAGCUCCAGAGUUGAGGGGUAAAGAGAGGGGGCUCUCCCCUCCUAAAUCACCGUGUGCCCCUCAGUUAACCUCCAGGGUCCAACCUGCGAAGUCGAACAGCAGGAACAAGGCACUUGCACGCCCCCUAAAGAGGGUCCCGACUGGGAAGGAGACAGAAAAAUCCUGACAAUGGGAUGAAAGGGACCGUCUGAAGGCAUUUGAUUGUAAGGAAGUGACAGCUAUGAAUGGUGACAGAGCUUGAAUGAGAGCUCUCGAGAUGGGAUGUAUGCCUUGUUAGUGACUAUUGUGGGGCAACAGGGGGGUGGGAAGGGUGACAGUCCUUCCCCCUUUUUUUUAUUUCCAAGAAGGUGUUCAUCCUUCAAGGAGGGCGGCGAAUCUUCAAAGCCAUGCCUUCUCAGACCUCCAGUGUCACCAUCAUCGUUCCCAUGUGGUGACCUCUGGGAAGGCUGCAUCAGCACGUGGGUCUCCUGGAGGAGAAGAUGCGUCAAACUGCAGUUUGCAUAAUGCCAAGGCUUUUAUAAUUUCCCCUUGGGUGUCCUGGGAUUGAUCGAUGUUCUUUCACUUGACAGGACAUCCAUCAGGAUCCAUUUAUCGUCCUCUUUAGGAGAUGAGCAUUCUGUUUCUUUUAUCUAGGGACUCUUUCAGAAAAGAUAAUAGCUGCUCUUCUAAUUGGUGUUGAAACACUGAACUGGCAUGGAAUUUCUCUGUGUUUUCCAAGAGCCACUUUAUCUGAGUACAGAAUGUUUGACACACGCUUCUGAAGUGCUCUGAGAUAAAUGGGCAUGUUUGUUUUAUGCAAGAAGGACUGCUAAUCAGCAUUACAUUUGUAAAAGUUUGUGUUGUGUUGUUAAUGUUUGUUCAACAGCUGGACCCCUGUCAAAUGUCAAGCACUGUUUGACUGUAAAUAUAGGCUAUGUGUCAAUUCAGGACUCAGAUGAAAUAUUUCAUAGAUCAUAUAUUAAUAAAUAUCAAAGACAUUAGUUGAACAAACACAGUGUAUAAGUGUUCUGCAAUUUAAUUAAAGUAUAGCCACUUGUCUUAAACAAACAUCUCCAACAUCAUACGGCUACAAGCAAAAGAA